CCUACGGGGGGCAGCAGUGGGGAAUAUUGCACAAUGGGGGAAACCCUGAUGCAGCGACGCCGCGUGAGUGAGGAAGUAUUUCGGUAUGUAAAGCUCUAUCUGCAGGGAAGAAAAUGACGGUACCUGACUAGUAAUCUCCGGCUAACUACGUGCCAGCAGCCGCGGUAAUACGUAGGGGGCAAGCGUUAUCCGGAUUUACUGGGUGUAAAGGGAGCGUAGACGGCUAAUCAAGUCAGCAGUGAACACCCAGGGCUCAACCUUGGGACUGCUUUGGAAACUGAGUAGCUAGAGUGCAUGGAAGGUAAGCGGAAUUCCUGGUGUAGCGGUGAAAUGCGUAGAUAUUAGGAGGAACACCAGUGGCGAAGGCAGCUUACUGGACUGUAACUGACGCUGAGGCUCGAAGGCGUGGGGAGCAAACAGGAUUAGAUACCCUGGUAGUC
rnacentral:rRNA from 1 species